rnacentral:ncRNA from 1 species
AAAACGGCUGUGAACCGGAGGAGUAGGCGGCGACGGUCGCCAGAGAGGGGCGGUCAUCGGCUGGAAGCCGCCCUCGACACGAACCGCCGAAGGUCGCCGGGGAGCCGCAACGGUGAAGCGCAGUAGCCGUUGCCGGGAGCGCCCGUUAUCGCGCCACGAGCGCCGGCAUCUUCUGCCGGAAGCAGGGUGGUACCGCGGAGGCAACGCCUUCGUCCCUGAG